rnacentral:rRNA from 1 species
GAUGAACGCUGGCGGCGUGCUUAACACAUGCAAGUCGAGCGAUGAUUAAAGAUAGCUUGCUAUUUUUAUGAAGAGCGGCGAACGGGUGAGUAACGCGUGGGAAAUCUGCCGAGUAGCGGGGGACAACGUUUGGAAACGAACGCUAAUACCGCAUAACAAUGAGAAUCGCAUGAUUCUUAUUUGAAAGAAGCAAUUGCUUCACUACUUGAUGAUCCCGCGUUGUAUUAGCUAGUUGGUAGUGUAAAGGACUACCAAGGCGAUGAUACAUAGCCGACCUGAGAGGGAGAGCGGCCACACUGGGACUGAGACACGGCCCAGACUCCUACGGGAGGCGGCAGUAGGGAAUCUUCGGCAAUGGGGGCAACCCUGACUGAGCAACGCCGCGUGAGUGAAGAGGUUUUCGGAUCGUAAAACUCUGUUGGUAGAGAAGAACGUUGGUGAGAGUGGAAAGCUCAUCAAGUGACGGUAACUACCCAGAAAGGGACGGCUAACUACGUGCCAGCAGCCGCAGUAA